GACGAACGCUGGCGGCGUGCCUAAUACAUGCAAGUAGAACGCUGACGGAGGAGCUUGCUUCUCUGGCUGAGUUGCGAACGGGUGCGUAACGCGUAGGUAACCUGCCUGGUAGCGGGGGAUAACUAUUGGAAACGAUAGCUAAUACCGCAUAAGAGUAGAUGUUGCAUGACAUUUGCUUAAAAUGUGCAAUUGCAUCACUACCAGAUGGCCCUGCGUUGUAUUAGCUUGUUGGUGGGGUAACGGCUCACCAAGGCGAAGGAACAGAGGCGAGCUGAGAGGGUGAACGGGCAAACUGGGACCGGGACACGGCCCAGACUUCUUCGGGAAGGAGCAGUAGGGGAUCUUCGGCAAUGGACGGAAGGCUGAACGAGCAAAGACGCGUGGGUGAAGAAGGGUUUCGGAUCGUAAAGCUCUGUUGUAAGAGAAGAAAGAGUGUGAGAGUGGAAAGUUCACACUGUGACGGUAUCUUACCAGAAAGGGACGGCUAACUACGUG
rnacentral:rRNA from 1 species